GAUGAACGCUGGCGGCGUGCCUAAUACAUGCAAGUCGAGCGAACGGACGAGAAGCUUGCUUCUCUGAUGUUAGCGGCGGACGGGUGAGUAACACGUGGAUAACCUACCUAUAAGACUGGGAUAACUUCGGGAAACCGUAGCUAAUACCGGAUAAUAUUUUGAACCGCAUGGUUCAAAAGUGAAAGACGGUCUUGCUGUCACUUAUAGAUGGAUCCGCGCUGCAUUAGCUAGUUGGUAAGGUAACGGCUUACCAAGGCAACGAUGCAUAGCCGACCUGAGAGGGGUAUCGGCCACACUGGAACUGGGAACCGGUCCAGCCUCCUACGGGGGGCAGCGGUGGGGAAUCUUCCGCAAUGGGCGAAAGCCUGACGGAGCAACGCCGGGUGAGUGAUGAAGGUCUUCGGAUCGUAAAACUCUGUUAUUAGGGAAGAACAUAUGUGUAAGUAACUGUGCCCAUUUUGACGGUACCUAAUCAGAAAGCCCCGGCAAACCACGU
rnacentral:rRNA from 1 species